rnacentral:rRNA from 1 species
CCUACGGGAGGCAGCAGUGAGGAAUAUUGGUCAAUGGGCGCGAGCCUGAACCAGCCACGUAGCGUGAAGGAUGACUGCCCUACGGGUUGUAAACUUCUUUUUUAAAGGAAUAAAGUGAGGCACGUGUGCCUUUUUGUAUGUACUUUAUGAAUACGGAUCGCCUAACUCAGUGCCAGCAGCCGCGGUAAUACGGAGGAUCCGAGCGUUAUCCGGUUGUCUUGGGUUUAAAGGGAGCGUAGAUGGGUUGUUAAGUCAGGUGUGAAAGUUUGCGGGUCAACCGUAAAAUUGAAAUUGAUACUGGCAGACUUGAGUGCAGUAGAGGUAGGUGGAAUUCGUGGUGUAGCGGUGAAAUGCGUAGAUAUCAGGAAGAACACCGAUUGCGAAGGCAGCUUACUAAACUGCAACUGACAUUGCGGCUCGAAAGUGUGGGGAGCAAACAGGAUUAGAUACCCUAGUAGUC